rnacentral:rRNA from 1 species
CAGCCGCCACGGGAAUACGGAGGGGGCUAGCGUUGUUCGGAAUUACUGGGCGUAAAGCGCACGUAGGCGGCUUGGUAAGUUAGAGGUGAAAGCCUGGAGCUCAACUCCAGAAUUGCCUUUAAGACUGCCGAGCUAGCAGGUGAGAGAGGUAAGUGGAAUUCCGAGUGUAGAGGUGAAAUUCGUAGAUAUUCGGAAGAACACCAGUGGCGAAGGCGGCUUACUGGCUCAUACUGGACGCUGAGGUGCGAAAGCGUGGGGAGCAAACAGGAUUAGAGACCCCCGUAGUCCCUGUCUCUUAUAC